AAAUCCAAGUGUCAGUGAGCUUGGGAGCUGUGGGAGCCCCCUGGGGAGGGAGCGGCCUCGUGCCCCCUCCCCAGCAUUGUCUCCCACUGCUGGGGGGGGGGGGUGGGAGAACCAGGCCUGGGCAUAAGAUCAUGGCCCCCUGCCACUGCAUUCGAAGCUGGUACAGGGUGGGGGCGACGGGGUGCAGGAGGCCUUUGAACCUCACCUUCCUCAUCUGUAAAAUGGGGAUACUGACGACAUCCAUCCUCAGGGAUUGGUGUCUAGGGUAUAAGUGGCUUAGCGUGGGGCCUGGCACACAGCAAGGAGCGUUGUUGUAAAUUUUUUGGAAGAUUACCAAGGACAGAAGGGUUUGGUAACUGGUGGUUUGGAGACCAAUUUAAUUAUUUAAAAGGUGGACAGUGGUCCUCCCUGGGAGGAAGGGUGAUGGAGUUUCCCACAGUGGGGAUAGGUUGGGCAGGGCAUUAGACCUGUCUCUUGGUCUCCCAACCGUGGAGGGGCUGAGGACAGGGACCAGAAUGCUGUGUGCAGCUGGGAAAAGAGGCCAGAGCCAGCUGCCUGUGACUCCUGGGCUCCACCUUCCUGGAGACCUGCAGUGGCUCACUUAGGAAAUGAGCCGGAAGCAGAGGCCGGCUUCUCUCUCUGGAAUCCAAGUGCCCCAGGGAACAUGGGAUCCUGGGAGCAACUCCCUCAGGGCCUUGCACGCUGUGGAACUGCAAAGAACUUAGCAUUCCAGGAGUGGCCCCUGUGUGCUCAACCCUCUACUGUGCAGGAGGAACUUCACAGUGAGCCAGCCCGGGCCCUGCCCACAGGGAGCAAUUUGUCAGGAAGAAGGGAAAAAAAUAGAUACGCCUGACCCCUGAACCUUGGUCUUUCAACCCCAGACAAUGGUCAAAGUAAAUGGGAGGCCACAGGAUGGAAGAGGAAGGCCACAGACUACAGACCCGAGGAAGGAGGAAAGCAGGGGUGGGAACCUGAGGGCAAGGGGUGAAGCCCAGAGUCACCGUAAAUCAGAGCCCCAGAGAAGAUGCCCUGAGGUUCAGGCAGGCACUAGGCUCGGGGCCAGAGGCAGACACUCUCCAGCUUCAGGGAUCCUAGGCCAAAGGCACUGGAGGAACUCUCUAUUUUAAAGGAGCCCUAAGAUGGAUUCCUUUUCAGUGGAAAAGGACCUCCCCUGGAUGGGGAUGAUGAAAACGUUGACUUAGUCAUAACAAAUGUUAAGAAACAGCUCCCGAAGAAAAGUUUAUUUCUUGCUUGCAUUAUAGUCUCCUGGGGGCUGGUGGAGGGAGGGGCAAGGGCUCUGCUCCAUGUGGUCACUCAGGGGCCCAGGCCCCUUCACCCCGUGACCCUGUCAUCACCUAAGGCCUUAUCCUCCACUCCGUAACCAUGUGGGAGAAGAAAGAGGGAGCGUGGAGGAUAGCAUGGAAGGAUGCUUGUGGACCAAGCUAAACCAGGGGCAGAGGAGCCACAUCAUUUCAGCUCCCAUUGCACAGGCCAGAGCUGGGUCAUGUGGCCACUCCUAACUGCAAAGGAGGCUGGGAAAUGCAGUUCAGCUGCAUGCCCAGGAGGAAGCCAAUGAACCAGGGUUUGGUGAAAACAUAGCAAUCCCUACCUCAAAUGCUGUUCUCUUCAGGUGGAUGAGUUGACAUGAAGCGACACUAACAAAGUGCCCAGUGUACCUGGCCUCUGACCUGUGUGCCAAAGCUGUGAUCUGGAAACCCAGAGGCUGGUCAUCUUAGGGUCAGGACAGGCCUCUGAAGGCUGCUCCUACACCUCCUCUGGAAACUGUACCUUCAAGCAUGCCAGCCUGGGCAACAUGGCGAGACCUCGUCUCUAUUAAAACACCACAACAACAAAAAUUAGCAGAUACGCCCCAUAGACCUCCAGGGUCAGGGCAGAGAAGGCUCCCACCGAUCCUCAGCAGCAAACACACCAGUCCAAGUCAGCCACGAUGACCAAAGCAGCCACAGGGCCAUGGGGCAUCAGCAUGGAAGGAAGGGGCUUUAUCAUGAGAUCAAGAGGGAGCUCAGAGAAUGGAAGCAAAGGCCGAAGAUCCAGGCGGGCCUCGAUGAGGAUGGGAUGAAACCAGGGCAUCUUCCAGAGCAAGGAAAGACUCAGUGACCACCCCAGGGGUUGGCCAUCAAGAUGAAGCCAGGAGCGAGAAACCAGAGAGAGAGGAGGGACGGUGCGACGGUCAGUUUCCUGUGUCCACUCAGGGGAGACUGCAGUCCCCACCCCUUGAAUCAAACACGAAUCUCUGUGUUGCCAGGAAGGUAUUCUGCAGAUGCGACUGAAGUCCAUGACUUCCAGCCAGGGGUGGUGGCUCACGCCUGUAAUCCCAGCACUUUGGGAGGCUGAGAACCCUGACCAGCACGGCCGGCAGGAGGACAGUGGAGAAGUGGACUGGGAAGUUCUGAGGACCCUCUCUAAGUAGGAGCAUCACACCUGCACAAACAAGCAAUAACUAGGUCCUGCCCCUCACAAAGCUGGGAAGCAAGGACAGCACCACCCGCAGGGGCCGUGCAGCCGUGGGUGCUGGUGUUCAGCAAGAUGGCUCGGAACUCCAGGGCAGGCCUGGCACAGUGGUGUACAACUGUCCCCUAUCCCCUCAACAUCACCCCCUUGAGUGGCCGACACAUCCAUUAAACUCU